GGAGAGGUGGCAGAGUCCGGUUGAAUGCGGCGGUCUUGAAAAUCGUUGUGGGGUUAAACUCACCGGGGGUUCGAAUCCCUCCCUCUCCGCCA
rnacentral:tRNA from 1 species